rfam:Enterococcus saccharolyticus ATCC 43076 genomic scaffold acpML-supercont1.4, whole genome shotgun sequence.
GGUCCGUUGGUCAAGCGGUUAAGACACCGCCCUUUCACGGCGGUAACACGGGUUCGAAUCCCGUACGGAUCA